UGAAUACGAGAUGCUACGGCGUCGAAGCAGUCUAUGUCAUACUUCCAAGAAAAGCUUGCACUGUCAUAAACAAAUAAUGCCUGUACCAUAACCGACACAGGUGGGUAGGUAGAGUAUACUAAGGGGCGCGAGAUAACUCUCUCUAAGGAACUCGGCAAAAUGACUCCGUAACUUCGGGAGAAGGAGUGCCUUAUUUAUAAGGUUGCAAUAACAAGAUCCAAGCAACUGUUUACCAAAAACACAGGUCUCCGCUAAGUCGUAAGACGAUGUAUGGGGGCUGACGCCUGCCCAGUGCCAGAAGGUUAAAGAAGUUGGUUAGCAUCCGCGAAGCUGAUAACUGAAGCCCUGGUGAACGGCGGCCGUAACUAUAACGGUCCUAAGGUAGCGAAAUUCCUUGUCGGGUAAGUUCCGACCCGCACGAAAGGCGUAAUGAUUUUGGAUACUGUCUCGGAGAGGGGCUCGGUGAAAUAGACUUGUCUGUGAAGAUGCGGACUACCUGCACCAGGACAGAAAGACCCUAUGAAGCUUUACUGUAACCUGAAAUUGAAAUUGGACUUUACUUGCGCAGUAUAGGUGGGAGGCGUUGAGAAUAUUCUUGCGGGAUUAUUGGAGCCAUCAGUGAGAUACCACUCUUGUAAUGUUAGAUUUCUAACUUUGUAUCAUUAUCUGGUCAAAGAACAGUUUCAGGCGGGCAGUUUGACUGGGGCGGUCGCCUCCUAAACGGUAACGGAGGCGCACAAAGGUUUCCUCUGAACGGGUAGAAAUUGUAUCUAGAGUGUAAAGGCAUAAGGAAGCUUGACUGUGAGACCUACAAGUCGAGCAGGGACGAAAGUCGGUCUUAGUGAUCUGACGGUGCUGAGUGGAAAGGCCGUCACUCAACGGAUAAAAGUUACUCUAAGGAUAACAGGCUGAUCUCCCCCAAGAGUUCACAUCGACGGGGAGGUUUGGCACCUCGAUGUCGGCUCAUCGCAUCCUGGGGCGGUAGUACGUCCCAAGGGUUGGGCUGUUCGCCCAUGAAAGCGGUACGCGAGCUGGGUUCAGAACGUCGUGAGACAGUUCGGUCCAUAUCCGGUGUAGGCGUUAGAAUAUUGAGAGGAGCCUUCUUUAGUACGAGAGGACCGAGAAGGACAUACCUCUGGUGUACCAGUUAUCGUGCCAACGGUAAACGCUGGGUAGCUAUGUGUGGAGUGGAUAACCGCUGAAAGCAUCUAAGUGGGAAGCCCACCUCAAGAUAAGUAUUCUCGUGUAAGGUCACGGGAAGACGACCCGUAAAUAGGCACGAGGUGGAAGUGCAGAGAUGUAUGAAGCCGAAGUGUACUAAUAGACCGUCGGCUUGACC
rnacentral:rRNA from 1 species